CCUACGUGCUGCAGCAGUGAGGAAUAUUUGUCAAUGGGCGCGAGCCUGAACCAGCCAAGUAGCGUGAAGGAUGCCUGCCCUACGGGUUGUAACCUUCUUUUAUAAAGGAAUAAAGUGAGGCACGUGUGCCUUUUUUUAUGUACUUUAUGAAUAAGGAUCGGCUAACUCCGUUCCAGCAGCCGCGGUAAUACGGAGGAUCCGAGCGUUAUCCGGCUUUAUUGGGGUUAAAGGGAGCGUAGAUGGGUUGUUAAGUCAGUUGUGAAAGUUUGGGGCUCAACCGUAAAAGUGCAAUUGAUACUUGCAGUCUUGAGUACAGUUGAGGUAGGCGGAAUUCGUGGUGUAGCGGUGAAAUGCUUAGAUAUCACGAAGAACUGCGAUUGCGAAGGCAGCUUACUAAACUGCCACUGACAGUGAUGCUCGAAAGUGUGGGUAUCAAACAGGAUUAGAUACCCGGGUAGUC
rnacentral:rRNA from 1 species